rnacentral:rRNA from 1 species
GAUGAACGCUGGCGGCGUGCCUAAUACAUGCAAGUCGAGCGAACAGACGAGGAGCUUGCUCCUUCGACGUUAGCGGCGGACGGGUGAGUAACACGUAGGUAACCUACCUAUAAGACUGGGAUAACUUCGGGAAACCGGAGCUAAUACCGGAUAAUAUUUCGAACCGCAUGGUUCGAUAGUGAAAGAUGGCUUUGCUAUCACGUAUAGAUGGACCUGCGCCGUAUUAGCUAGUUGGUAAGGUAACGGCUUACCAAGGCAACGAUACGUAGCCGACCUGAGAGGGUGAUCGGCCACACUGGAACUGAGACACGGUCCAGACUCCUACGGGAGGCAGCAGUAGGGAAUCUUACGCAAUGGGCGAAAGCAUGACGGAGCAACGCCGCGUGAGUGAUGAAGGUCUUCGGAUCGUAAAACUCUGUUAUUAGGGAAGAACAAACGUGUAAGUAAAUGUGCACGUCUUGACGGUACCUAAUCAGAAAGCCACGGCUAACUACGUG